rnacentral:misc_RNA from 1 species
UUUCCGUAGGUGAACCUGCGGAAGGAUCAUUAUUGAGUGAGACACUUCUGGCUUUAUGCUGUUGUGCUGGCCCUUUGGGCAAUGUGCACACGGCUCUGGUCACUUGUUUCUUCUGUUCCACCUGUGCACUGCCUGUAGACACGCUGUGUCUAUGAUAUUUGUUAACACACAACAAUGUUAGUUGGCAUGUUAUAUAUAAUAAUAAAAUAUACAACUUUCAACAACGGAUCUCUUGGCUCUC